GAUGAAGAACGCAGCGAAAUGCGAUAAGUAAUGUGAAUUGCAGAAUUCAGUGAAUCAUCGAAUCUUUGAACGCACAUUGCGCCCGCCAGUAUUCUGGCGGGCAUGCCUGUCUGAGCGUCAUUUCAACCCUCAUGCCCCUAGGGCGUGGUGUUGGGGAUCGGCCAAAGCCCGCGAGGGACGGCCGGCCCCUAAAUCUAGUGGCGGACCCGUCGUGGCCUCCUCUGCGAAGUAGUGAUAUUCCGCAUCGGAGGGCGACGAGCCCCUGCCGUUAAACCCCCAACUUUCCAAGGUUGACCUCAGAUCAGGUAGGAAUACCCGCUGAACUUAAGCAUAUCAAUAAGCGGAGGA
rnacentral:misc_RNA from 1 species